GGCCGCCUGGCGAAAUGGUAUCGCGUCUGACUACGAAUCAGGAGAUUGCAGGUUCGAGACCUGCGGUGGUCA